rnacentral:rRNA from 1 species
GCUUGAUGCUGCUUGGCUGAGGAACGAAGGGGGUUUACUUCUUUUGGUGUAGUGAUGAAAUGCGUAGAUGGAAUAAGGAACACCGGUGGCGAUGGCGGCUACCUGGAAUAUUCCUGACUGUGAAAGACAACGUCCGGGGGAACAAACGGCCUUACCCCCCCGGUCGUCCUGGACGUAAUGAGUGCUAUUGGGGGUAGGAUGACUCCACCCCUUCUGAGUUUAAAUAACUCAUCCACCGGAUGGGGAGGGAAGUACAAGAUUAAGACUCUAAGGAAUUGACGGGCCCCCGGCACGCGGUGGAGUGGUGUAUUUGGUUUAAUUCAAUGCAACAACCUUACCCUUCCCUGGCCUUGACCUGCUAGUAGUUAAACCCAGAUACGGGGACAAGGUAACAAUACCACUGCUGCCUGUGCUCCGUGCCUGUCGUCAGCUCGUGACGUGAGAUGUUGGCUCACGUCCCGCACCGAUCUCAUUUCUUAUUAUUAGUUGCUCAGCAAUGGACCCUUUAGUCAGAGUGCUCUGUGGAACGGAGAGGAAGGGUGGGGAUGACUUCAAGUCCGCAUGGCCCUUUGCGGCCAGGGCUGCACACGUGCUACAAUGCUCAGUACAGAAUGAACCGAUACCACAUGCGAGGCAAUCCCUACACUGAGCUCAUUUCGGAUGGAGUGCUGCUACUCAUCGCAAGAUGUAGAUCGCUAAUAAUGGGGCAUCGCGACCGCGCUAUACUACUUUCCCCGGGCCUUG